GAUAACAGGUUGAUCUUCCCCAAGAGUCCACAUCGACGGGAAGUUUUGGCACCUCGAUGUCGCCUCUUCGCCACCUGGAGCUAUAGGUGGUUCCAAGGGUUGGGCUGUUCGCCCAUUAAUGCGGUAUGUGAACUGGGUUCAGAACAUCGUGAGACAAUUC
rnacentral:ncRNA from 1 species